rnacentral:rRNA from 1 species
UGGGGAAUUUUGGACAAUGGGGGAAACCCUGAUCCAGCCAUCCCGCGUGUGCGAUGAAGGCCUUCGGGUUGUAAAGCACUUUUGGCAGGAAAGAAACGUCAUGGGUUAAUACCCCGUGAAACUGACGGUACCUGCAGAAUAAGCACCGGCUAACUACGUGCCAGCAGCCGCGGUAAUACGUAGGGUGCAAGCGUUAAUCGGAAUUACUGGGCGUAAAGCGUGCGCAGGCGGUUCGGAAAGAAAGAUGUGAAAUCCCAGAGCUCAACUUUGGAACUGCAUUUUUAACUACCGGGCUAGAGUGUGUCAGAGGGAGGUGGAAUUCCGCGUGUAGCAGUGAAAUGCGUAGAUAUGAGGAGGAACACAGAUGGCGAAGGCAGCCUCCUGGGAUAACACUGACGCUCAUGCACGAAAGCGUGGGGAGCAAACAGG